AUCAAACCUGUGACGGAGAGAAGUACCCGGUGCAUUCCAAUCUUUAGAGAGUCCCGGAUGGUGGAAUCGGGAUGUGCGGAAACCGGCGAAUGGACUCCGGAGGGCGGCUUGAAAGGCGGUUUCGCCCAGUAGAUGCCGACGGGGCCCCACCCGUUAUCCAUCGGGCACGCAUGAUGGUGCGUGAAGCGAGUGGACGCGCAAGCGUCAAUUUGGGUGGUAUCGCAGAAGUGUUUUGAAACGCUUUUGUCCCAGAA
rnacentral:ncRNA from 1 species